rnacentral:rRNA from 1 species
UACGGAGGGGGCUAGCGUUGUUCGGAAUUACUGGGCGUAAAGCGCACGUAGGCGGCUUUGUAAGUUAGAGGUGAAAAGCCCAGGGCUUAACCCUGGAAUUGCCUUUAAGACUGCAUCGCUAGAAUCGUGGAGAGGUAAGUGGAAUUCCGAGUGUAGAGGUGAAAUUCGUAGAUAUUCGGAAGAACACCAGUGGCGAAGGCGACUUACUGGACACGUAUUGACGCUGAGGUGCGAAAGCGUGGGGAGCAAACAGG